rnacentral:misc_RNA from 1 species
AACGCACAUUGCGCCCAUUAGUAUUCUAGUGGGCAUGCCUGUUCGAGCGUCAUUUCAACCCCUAAGCACAGCUUAUUGUUGGGAAUCCACGCCUGUGGUUCCUCAAAGACAUUGGCGGAGUGGCAGUAGUCCUCUGAGCGUAGUAAUUCUUUAUCUCGCUUUUGUUAGGUGCUGCCCCCCGGCCGUAAAACCCCCAAUUUUUUCUGGUUGACCUCGGAUCAGGUAGGAAUACCCGCUGAACUUAA